rnacentral:rRNA from 1 species
UACGUAGGGGGCAAGCGUUGUCCGGAUUUAUUGGGCGUAAAGAGCGUGUAGGCGGCCAGGUAGGUCCGUUGUGAAAACUCGAGGCUCAACCUCGAGACGUCGAUGGAAACCCUCUGGCUAGAGUCCGGAAGAGGAGAGUGGAAUUCCUGGUGUAGCGGUGAAAUGCGUAGAGAUCAAGGAAGAACACCCGUGGCGAAGGCGGCCCACUGGGCCGGUGCUGACGCUGAGGCGCGAAGGCGUGGGGAGCGAACGGG